rnacentral:rRNA from 1 species
AACGAACGCUGGCGGCGUGCCUAACACAUGCAAGUCGAGCGCGAACGACCCCUUCGGGGGACUAGUAGAGCGGCGGACGGGUGAGUAGUACGUGAAUAAUCUGCCUUCGAGCUCGGGACAACACCGCGAAAGUGGUGCUAAUACCGGAUAAGACCACACAACCCAGGUUGCGGGGUCAAAGGUGGCUUGUAUUUAUACUGGCUAUCACUUGAAGAUGAGUUCACGGCCUAUCAGCUUGUUGGCGGGGUAACGGCCCACCAAGGCUAUGACGGGUAGCUGGUCUGAGAGGACAACCAGCCACACUGGGACUGGGACACGGCCCAGACUCCUACGGGAGGCAGCAGUGGGGAAUAUUGGGCAAUGGGCGAAAGCCUGACCCAGCGACGCCGCGUGGGUGAUGAAGGCCUUCGGGUUGUAAAGCCCUUUCGUGCGGAACGAACAGCCUUGUGACUAAUACUCACGAGGUUUGACGGUACCGCAGGAAGAAGCACCGGCUAACUCCGUGCCAGCAGCCGCCGUAACAC